rnacentral:rRNA from 1 species
GGCCUAACACAUGCAAGUCGAACGCUCCGCAAGGGGAGUGGCGCACGGGUGAGUAACACGUGGGAACCUACCUUCUGGUACGGAACAACCAAGGGAAACUUUGGCUAAUACCGUAUACGACCUCCGGGUGAAAGAUUUAUCGCCGGAAGAGGGGCCCGCGUCCGAUUAGGUAGUUGGUGAGGUAACGGCUCACCAAGCCGACGAUCGGUAGCUGGUCUGAGAGGAUGACCAGCCACACUGGGACUGAGACACGGCCCAGACUCCUACGGGAGGCAGCAGUGGGGAAUAUUGGACAAUGGGCGCAAGCCUGAUCCAGCCAUGCCGCGUGAGUGAUGAAGGCCUUCGGGUUGUAAAGCUCUUUCACCCACGACGAUGAUGACGGUAGUGGGAGAAGAAGCCCCGGCUAACUUCGUGCCA